rnacentral:rRNA from 1 species
CGGUGUCGAUGCGUCCAGGGGACACACCCGUUCCCAUUCCGAACACGAUGGUUAAGACCUGGUCGGCCGAUGGUACUAUACUGGAGACGGUAUGGGAGAGUAGGUGGAUGCCGCUGCA